GACGAACGCUGGCGGCGUGCUUAACACAUGCAAGUCGAACGGAAAGGCCCAGCUUGCUGGGUACUCGAGUGGCGAACGGGUGAGUAACACGUGGGUGAUCUGCCCUGGACUCUGGGAUAAGCCUGGGAAACUGGGUCUAAUACCGGAUAUGACCUUACAUCGCAUGGUGUUUGGUGGAAAGCUUUUGCGGUUCAGGAUGGGCCCGCGGCCUAUCAGCUUGUUGGUGGGGUAAUGGCCUGCCAAGGCGACGACGGGUAGCCGACCUGAGAGGGUGAUCGGCCACACUGGGACUGAGACACGGCCCAGACUCCUACGGGAGGCAGCAGUGGGGAAUAUUGCACAAUGGGCGCAAGCCUGAUGCAGCGACGCCGCGUGAGGGAUGACGGCCUUCGGGUUGUAAACCUCUUUCACCAGGGACGAAGCGUGAGUGACGGUACCUGGAGAAGAAGCACCGGCCAACUACGUG
rnacentral:rRNA from 1 species